GUGUAUUAUGGAAUUAGACGUUGAACAGUUUUUUUCACCAUUUCUGUGUCCAGGCGUUCAGAAAUCAAGGGGCCAUGACCAUGAUUAGGAGUGAAUGAAGUCAGGUGAGAAUGGAUGGAUCCAUGAAAGUGGGCGGAGGGUCACUGGCUCUAUUCUACAACACUAAAAGGAUUGCAAGACAACUUUGGAGAGGUGGAAGAGGGCGUAUAUUUGCUCCGCAACAAGAGGAAGCCAUUUGUGCAAUGGUGAUUGCAAACAAUGCCAUAAGGUUGAGAGGGAUACAAAGUGCUGUUAUAGAGGAUGACAACGUCUUUGGGAAUAUUGAAUCUGUUUCAGUCGCUACUCAGGAGGAAUGAAAUGCGCAUGAAACAACUGUACAAUGUGCCAUUUGAACGGAACAGCGACAGAGUGAAGGAGAUCCGUCACCAGUAUGUACAGCAUGUACUGGAGCUAGAGGCCAGGGAACCGCUGCACACAUUCAUAUACCUUGAUGAGGCGGGUUUCAAUCUGGCAAAAGGUAGAAGAUGUGGAAGGAAUCGCAUUGGACAGAGAGCAACCGUUGAUGUCCCAGGCCAACGAGGAGGGAAUAUUACUAUGUGUGCCGCCAUCUCAGAAAACGGCGUCCUCACCCAUAUCCCCCGUCUUGGUCCAUACAACACACAACAUCUGCUGACUUUUUUUAGACACUCUUCACAGGGACAUAAUCCCUGAGAAUGAGAUGGGUCUAACUGGAGACCAUCUGAACAAGCAUGUUGUUGUUUUGGAUAAUGUGCAUUUUCACCACUCAGAUGUCGUCAGACAGUGGUUUGCAGCACAUAAUAGGAUGCUGGUGGAAUAUCUCCCUCCCUACUCCCCAUUCCUAAAUCCAAUAGAGGAGUUUUUCUCUUCCUGGAGGUGGAAGUUAUAUGACCGGCAUCCACAUACCCAAAUGGCCCUGCUAGUGGCCAUGGAUGCAGCAUGGGAUGACAUCGCAGCAGAGUCCUGCAGAGGGUGGAUUCGCCACUCGAGGAGAUACUUUCCUCGCUGCAUUGUAAGAGAUGAUAUUCGCUGUGAUGUUGAUGAAAAUAUGUGGCAAGACAGAGAGGAACGUCUGGAUUUUCAUGAAUGAUUACAGUACUAUGUAUGUUGUAUGUUCAGUUCAAAUAUGUACUGCAAUAUUGUUUACCGUUGUGCACAGCUGUACCCAAAGGGAGUUUAUGUUUGU